GCCCGCCAUGCUGAUCACGCUGUGCUACCUGUACCUGUGGGCGCGCUGGGGGCCGCGCUCGGCCGCGCUCGUCCGCAGCACCGUGCGGAGGCUGCACCGCUCCCGCUGCUCCUUCACCUUCUGCGCCCGGCAGCCGCACCCCGAGGAGCGCGUCUGCCUCCGUGUCGGCGGCAAGGUGUUCUGCACCGGCGAGGCGCAGUUCCUUGAUGACUUAAACAGGUGGAGUGUGCUUCUCAUUUCUCCCUUUAUUCACCCCGAGAAGCUGCUGCCAGCAGAGCACAUUGCUUUUGUGACAGAAAGCAUUUCUGCUCAGACAGAGAACUUGCAGAAAGGACCUGACUCGUCAAAGGAGAUUGUGAAGUGGUCAGACUUUUGUUCACCCUUGGCCUAUAAACCUGGUGAACCUUUUAAGUUAAUUGCUGAAGCCAGUGUAGAUAAUUUCAGUAGCCUUGGAAUAGCCUUCCUGGAAGACAGGCUGCAGAUGGAGAAUGGGAUGGUGCCACACAGGAUUGUUUCUGUGCAUUUAGAGGAAUCUGCUCUGAAGGAGUUGGCACAGGAGGCACCAUCGGUGAAAGAGAAAAGCACAGACAUGGAUGCAGUAACUCCUGCUGGGAAAUCAGCACUAGGACGAGCUGAGGGGGACAAAUCUGAGCUGGAAGAAGAAAGGGAGCACGAGGAGACAGGAGCUGGGGACCACCAGAGCUUGCACGUUUUCAGCUGCCACGAGUGCCAGCAGCUGGAGGACAUCACCAUUGAGUCGGUGAAAUCCGCCUCUGCAGAAAACAUUCCAGAGCUUCCCGAGGAUUGCAGCAGCAGCAGGGAGGAGAAGGAGCACGAGUGUCUGCAAAAAGGAAUCAAAAGAAUAAACCUGGCUGGGAAACCCCCCAAUAUCUUGAUUUACCUGGGCUCUGAGGCUGCCGAAGGGAGGUUUGAGCAGGUGAGAGCAGUGCUCGGGGGGUGCAUCGAUGCCGAGAGUUACACCGUGUACCAGCUGCACCAGGAGCAAGUGCUCAGAGACCCCUGGGCUGACAACUCCCUGCUGCUGCUCAUUGCCACAGAGGAGCCCAUUCCUGAGGACAUCCACAGGCAAUUCAUGACAUUUCUGGCCAAAGGGGGGAAGAUUCUCGCGUUUUCUUCGUCCUUCACGUUCGGGGGCGUGCAGAUCAAGCACAAAAACAAACUGAGGAGGGUUGUGCACGAGCUGGUGGUGUCCAAAAAGGACAGCACUGAGGUGAAGCUGAGCCUGCUGGUCAGUGGCUGUGUUUUUGAGGAAGGCAUGAAGGGAGAUGGCAGCAGAGUGAAGGUGUUGAGUCGGUUGAAUAAUGCUGCUAAAGACACGGUGAUGGUGCACCUGACUCACGGCAGCAGUGGAGGAGAAGCCAUCCUUUCCCAGGCCCAUUUGGAGCUGGACAUCAAUUCCAUGGAUGUGCAAACUGAAGAGGAUUUUAAUUUGCUCAAAAUGAGCAAUUCCAAGAGAUAUGAAGUUCUCAGGGAGAUCCUGACCUGCCUUGGGCUGAGCUGUGAAUUGAGUGCAAUUCCUGAAUUAACACCCAUUUAUCUGCUCUCUCCAGAUGAGGAAAUCCACCUUGCUUUCCUGAAAUGGCUGGAGGGGAACGUGGAUGCUGAGGGACUGAGGGCAUCCAGCAAGGUGUCCCUGAAGUUUGUUUCGUCCCCCGAGUCCAAGGUGGAGGUGACUCCGUCCCUGGUGCCGGUGAUCACGGAGAUGGGGAGGUUCUCCUCAGAGCAUUUCAGCCUCCAGACCUAUCAGCAGCAUCUCCAGACCAAGAAGCUGGGCAAGAUCCUUCUUUUCACUGAGGUGACCAUGACAACCAUGAAUCUUCUGGAUGGGUUAAUGUUCGACUUGCCUGAGGAGAUGGGUUUAAUAGCAGUGGCUGUUCGACAAACACAAGGGAAAGGUCGUGGUGGGAACGUUUGGCUCAGCCCCGUGGGCUGUGCCCUGUGCACUCUGCACAUCUCCAUCCCUCUACAUUCCAACCUGGGCCAGAGAAUUCCCUUUAUCCAGCACCUGGUGUCCUUGGCAGUGGUAGAGGCAGUCAGAUCCAUACCAGGAUAUGAGGACAUUGAGCUUCGAGUCAAGUGGCCAAAUGAUAUUUACUACAGUGAUCUCAUGAAGAUUGGUGGAGUUCUGGUAAACUCAACACUCAUUGAAACAACAUUUCAUAUUCUCAUUGGCUUUGGGUUUAAUGUGAAUAACAGCAACCCCACCAUCUGCAUCAACGACCUCAUUGCAAAGUUUAACAGGGAAGAGGGGAUGGAGCUGCAGCCUCUGAGUGCAGAUUGUCUCAUCGCAAGGACGGUGACGGUGCUGGAGAGGCUCAUCGAGGUUUUUCAGGAGAAGGGGCCCAAUGGAAUCCUUCCCCAGUACUACAAGUAUUGGGUACACAGCGGGAAGCAGGUGCGGCUCCGUGGCGAGGAGGGGCCCCUGGCCUGGAUCGUUGGCAUUGAUGACUACGGAUACCUGCAGGUGCACGAGGAGGGCCGGGGCGUGGAGUCUGUGCACCCUGAUGGCAACUCCUUCGACAUGCUGAGGAACCUCAUCGUCCCCAAGCACUGACAGGGACUCUUUGGCACUGGCACUGGCACUGGCACCUCGACCUGUUCAAGCUGGGAAAAAGUGGAAGAAGCUUCAAAACCAGAUCCUGAAGCAGAAACAUCUGAUUUGCAGGCAGUCGUAUCUGCUACGUGCUUCUUCAGAGCUUUGAUGGCUUGGCACCAUCAUCCUCCAAUCUCUGAUCUCUCCAAGAGGAGCUAUUUUUCCAUGGAGAAAAAUGUCUCUGGCCCACGGCGUUUUUGGCAGCUGCUGCCAAAUGUGGAUGUGAUGUGGAAUAGCCCUCGCAUCCAAGCCGGCUGCCAGAUGUCAGAUUUGGCUUUGCCUUCUGGAUCGAAGCUGAUGAUGCUAAGCAGAUCCUCCCCGCUUUGAAGCUCCCUGCCUGUCAGUUCUCCAGUGGGCCACUGGAAAAAAGCAGCACUUGACAACCUAAGGGAGAUCAGAUCCAAAAAAUAAAAGGGAAGGAAAAAAAAAAAGUC